AUGUGUUUGGUGUAAGAUAUAUAUGUUCGGAUUUGGUUAGAUUUGUGGUUGAAUUCUAAUUCAAUUAGGAUUAAUAUUUAAAUUUAUGGGAGAUAAAUUAAGAUUCAAAUAUUAAUUAGAGUAGAAAUCUAAUUGGAUUAGGAUUUUGAUAGCUUUUGAUGUAAGCUAUAAAUAUAGCAUAUGUGGUAUUAUUGUGACGAUGAUGGUACGGAUUAGCCACACCUAGCUUUAUGGCAUGGUCAGGGCGGUCAUAAUUUUGGAUGCACCUAAUGUAUGGGUGUAAGAGGACGUGAGCGGCUUUCGUAGCCGUGGGUCAUUAGUAUACCUUGUGCACGGGUGCUGAGGAUGAGAGAGAUGUCUUUUGAGAUUAUAGAAAACGAGAGAAGGGUAGAAGAAAUUCAAAAAGAGGGCUUGGAAUUAUAGCUACUCUGUUACAGAAAAGCAGUCAUCUGUAAUCUUUUCUUAUUUAGUAAAUCUUAUUUUAUCCGCAUAUUUUCUGUUUAGUUGUUUUUUUCUCUUUUAUGAUUGUAUUAAUUUUUGCUGAGAAGACGAGUGUAUGGUAAAAAUCCGAUUUGACGCUUCCGUUGCGGAAUCCCAAUAAUUGGUAUCGGAUCACCAACCGUUGGUGUCGGAACAGGUUGCGGAUUUUAAAAUUCGGUACUGGGAUGAGUACCAGAUUCCCAACAUUAUAUCCAACUUUUCCACACACAA
rnacentral:lncRNA from 1 species